rnacentral:lncRNA from 1 species
AUGAGUUUUUCUUUUCUCUGUAAAUACGAUGUUUCAGUGUUCCAUGGAGAUGCAAAAGAAGAAGGUUGGCUUGGACGUGAGGCUUGAAGUGAAAGGUGAAUUGGGUUAUGCCUGGCUCCCUGUAUGCCACAAGCGGAAGCUCAAUCUGGUUCUAGAUUGGCUACUGCGGGUGGCGUACGAGGAGCCAAGCAUACCCUUUAUCUUUCUCUCUCUUGUUCAUUUAUUUUGCUUGCUGCAUCUGCACAUAUGUAUAAGUGUUUUUAUGGUUUUCAUAUUUGAAUCAUAUAUUUCCCUCUGCUUGCUUGUUGUAUGAGUUCGAUAUAAAAUGAGACGCAUUUAGAUGUACACAAGCUGUUGAAUGUUGAUAUGGCUCAAUGUAAAUGCCCUUGGACAGCAAGUCAUAUUGAAGUUAUUUUGACAGUGCGUAUUAUCAAGCUUGGUAAAGUUCAAAAUGGGGGGUUUUCUUUAUUUUCCUUUAUCAAUGAGUUCAAAAUUAAUUACGAUUAGCAAACAAGGAUUCCAAAGCGCACACCCGAGCUUAUAUGAUUAUGAUUCCAUAAUCUUGUAGUCGAUUCUUUAUUUUCAAAAUGUUCUACAUAUUCUCUUGAUUUCAUUCCUUUUUAAUUUCCUUCUUUUUUUUAAUGAAGAUAUCUUUCUUUAAUACGAUAUAAUCUUUGCUUUUUAUAUUUUGAAAUAUACGUUUAAAAAAAUAAAAAUAAAAAGAAGUUAAAUAUGAUGAAAUUGUUCAUGAUAUAUAAUAAUGUGGUAUGACAUAAAAGACCAAAAGUGAUUUCAUUUUUGGAAAAAACACUCGUGUGAAAUUAGGAUAACAUUAUUUUACUAUAUCUGGUUAAUCAGAGCAUGUUACGCGUGAUAAUAUUUCCACAGUAUUUUGUGUGAAAACAACAAAAUAAUACUAUACUCGUUUUUUUUAAAAAUCAAAAAACUAUUCCCGUUUCAUAAAAGUUUUUUCUGCACCUUCGAACUCUCAAUGCAACUUUUCUGCUGUAAAGUACAAAUAACGAAAUGACAGACGAAGCUCACCUUUUUUUUUUUUCUUUGGUCUUCUUCUAAUCUCACCAAACUUAUUUAAUAUUAGGUACGUUUACAGCGUAUAGUCCAGUUAUAUCAGAUACACUGUUGGAAAUUGGAAGGCCUAUGGAGUACAUGGUGCUUAAUUUUCUCUGCAGGUUGACAGUGACUGCUAAAUUUGUUGGCCAAUAUAUCAAAGCCAGAAAGAAAGGACUGAAAUGA